AAUCCAGCUGUUUGUGUACCUCACUUCCAUUAUCUGCACACCACUUUCUUUUUCUUUUCAUAAAUGUUAACUGACCAUGUGGUAGCCCUGGAGUAGCUCUGAACCUAUUCUGGUUCUGGGGGCUGCCUGAUUUGCAAAUCAUUCUUUGCUCAAUUAAACUCUGUUAAAUUUAAUUUGCCUACAGUUUUUCUUUUAACAGUUGGCAUCAGAAGUGGGAUCUGAAGUAGGGCUUCCAGCAACCCCCAAGUGAUGAAGUAAGGUGCUUGCCAGGCCCAUGUGUCCAUUACUCUCGCAGCAACUGGGAAUUAGGGGUUCUUGGUCUUGCUGACUUCAAGAAUGAACCUGCGACCCUCACGAUUAUCAGCUUCCAUGAAGUACAGAUCAGAAGUUCUUACUCCCAUCAGGACACUUCUAUCAGAAACUCCCAGAAGAUAAAAAGACAACAUAUCCAAAAUUGAG